UAGUCCACGCCGUAAACGAUGUGCACUAGGUCGAGGGGGUUUGACGCCGCUCUCGGCUGAAGCGAAAGUGUUAAGUGCACCGCCUGGGGAGUACGGCCGCAAGGCUAAAACUCAAAGGAAUUGACGGGGGCUCACACAAGCGGUGGAGCAUGUGGCUUAAUUCGAAGCAACGCGAAGAACCUUAUCCUGGGUUUGGCAUGCAUGGAUUAGCUUCCUGAAAGGGAAGUGACGCGGCUUGCCGUGGAACAUGCACAGGUGCUGCAUGGCUGUCGUCAGCUCGUGCUGUGAAGUGUCGGGUUAAGUCCCUUAACGAGCGCAACCCCUAUCACUAGUUGCUAGCGAGUAAUGUCGAGGACUCUAGUGAGACUGCCGGUGUCAAACCGGAGGAAGGUGGGGAUGACGUCAAGUCCGCAUGGCCUUUAUGCCCAGGGCUGCACACGUGCUACAAUGGUUGGUACAGAACGAUGCAAGACCGCAAGGUGGAGCAAAUCG
rnacentral:rRNA from 1 species